CGCACAUUGCGCCCCUUGGUAUUCCAUGGGGCAUGCCUGUUCGAGCGUCAUUUACACCCUCAAGCUCUGCUUGGUGUUGGGCGUCUGUCCCGCCUCUGCGCGUGGACUCGCCCCAAAGUCAUUGGCAGCGGUCUCUUGCACCUCUCGCGCAGCACAUUGCGCUUCUUGAGGCGGCGAGGUCGCGACCACAAGCUCAAUUACCGUCUUUGACCUCGGAUCAGGUAGGGAUACCCGCUGAACUUAA
rnacentral:misc_RNA from 1 species